UACGGGGGGGCAAGCGUUGUUCGGAAUUACUGGGCGUAAAGGGCUCGUAGGCGGCCAACUAAGUCAUACGUGAAAUCCCUCGGCUUAACCGGGGAACUGCGUCUGAUACUGGAUGGCUUGAGUCCGGGAGAGGUGAGUGGAACUGCGAGUGUAGAGGUGAAAUUCGUAGAUAUCGUGAGGAACACCAGAGGCGAAGGCGACUUCCUGGACAAUUGCUGACGCUCAGGCACGAAAGCGUGGGGAGCAAAAGGG
rnacentral:rRNA from 1 species